rnacentral:pre_miRNA from 1 species
AGGUUGGGAUCAGAUGCAAUGCUGUGUGUGUAUUUCUGGUAUUGCACUUGUCCCGGCCUGU